rnacentral:rRNA from 1 species
UACGUAGGGCGCAAGCGUUUAUCCGGAAUUAUUGGGCGUAAAGAGCUCGUAGGCGGUCUGUUGCGUCCGCUGUGAAAACUCGGGGCUUAACCCCGAGCCUGCAGUGGAUACGGGCAGACUAGAGGUAGGUAGGGGAGAAUGGAAUUCCCGGUGUAGCGGUGAAAUGCGCAGAUAUCGGGAGGAACACCGGUGGCGAAGGCGGUUCUCUGGGCCUUACCUGACGCUGAGGAGC